AUUGCUUCUCGGCCUUUUGGCUAAGAUCAAGUGUAGUAUUAUAUUUAAUUCCCCACAUAUCCAUA
rnacentral:snRNA from 1 species